rnacentral:tRNA from 1 species
GCGCCCGUAGUUCAAUGGAUAGAAUGGGAGCCUCCGAAGCUCUUGGUACAGGUUCGAUUCCUGUCGGGCGCACCA